CGGAGAAUGUUAUCACGGGAGACACACGGCGGGUGCUAACGUCCGUCGUGAAGAGGGAAACAACCCAGACCGCCAGCUAAGGUCCCAAAGUCAUGGUUAAGUGGGAAACGAUGUGGGAAGGCCCAGACAGCCAGGAUGUUGGCUUAGAAGCAGCCAUCAUUUAAAGAAAGCGUAAUAGCUCACUGGUCGAGUCGGCCUGCGCGGAAGAUGUAACGGGGCUAAACCAUGCACCGAAGCUGCGGCAGCGACGCUGAUGCGUUGUUGGGUAGGGGAGCGUUCUGUAAGCCUGCGAAGGUGUGCUGUGAGGCAUGCUGGAGGUAUCAGAAGUGCGAAUGCUGACAUAAGUAACGAUAAAGCGGGUGAAAAGCCCGCUCGCCGGAAGACCAAGGGUUCCUGUCCAACGUUAAUCGGGGCAGGGUGAGUCGACCCCUAAGGCGAGGCCGAAAGGCGUAGUCGAUGGGAAACAGGUUAAUAUUCCUGUACUUGGUGUUACUGCGAAGGGGGGACGGAGAAGGCUAUGUUGGCCGGGC
rnacentral:rRNA from 1 species